UGUUAGAUACUAAAGAAGGCUUCCCCACAACCCAUAUGCAUCUGCUUUGACUGGUGGUUUCUAUCAUCCUACAAAGACUGUGACUUAUUGGUGAGGGCAGCUGGACAACUCUGAGAGCAACUUAGAGAAAUCCAUCUUGGGCACACUCUAUAAAGGAGCUCCUUCUCUGCAAAUAGCACCCCAGAUAAGUGCACAAAAGCAAGAUACCCUCGUGGACCUACACGUCCUCCCGCUUUUCAACACCCUGAUGCCUGAAGCUAUGGUUGAUACUAAAGGAGGUUUUCCCACUAUCCGUAUGCAUCUUCUCUGUUUUGAGAUUGCAACUAUGGACAGUUAUGGCUAAUCCUAGUAGAUUGUCUUCCCUUCUUUUAACAUCUUGGAUGAAUUUGGGUCACACUAAUUGUUAUGUGAAGAUGGAUGUUGAAUUGUGUAGAAUUUGACAGCAGUAUCAAGAGCUGAGGAGAAGGAGAAGAUGGAAAGGAGUCUAGCAACUUAAAAAUCUCACAGCAUUCUCUGUGAGGUGACCUUUUUUCCUGUUGGUGGCUCAAUUUCUUUAGGACAUAAAGAAGAUACUGAGGCCUGUGGCAGCCUGUGACAGUAUCAUCAAGUCGUAUCUGAACUUAUUGAACUGUUUCCUCCCCUUCCUUAUUCUUUAUUCACAGUUUGCUUUUCAUGUGCAUAAGUUGACUCAUUUGUUUCCUGUUAGCAUUUGAAACACCAUAUAGCCACCAUAAGUCCUGACAAAAUGACUUUUAAUAAGGAGGGGGAAGGUCCAUGUCCCACCUUCCUAUGAAAUUUUGGCCUAUUCACAGGUCUACCCCCACAUAAGAGAAGUAGUUAUGUUCUGUAAAGAAGAGGUUGAUAAAAACCUUUAGCAUGGUGUUUUGUGACUUAGAAGUUUUAAGUAGUCGUUCUUAUAUCUAAGCAUUUAUUAAUUUUGGUAAGAACAUUACUAUAUGUUUCUGAUGUCACUUUUACUGUUAAGAGGUGCCAGGCAUCUGGUGACCUGUCACUUCAGGAUUUGUGUGAAUCAGACCAUCUAAAUAUAAUAUAAAUUAGAGACUGGUAUUUGUAUUUCCUGAUUAAAAACAAAGUAACCUCUGUUUUACUAUUGAAGUAAGAGUACUUUAUAAUGAAUACAAAAAUGUAUAUUAAAUAUCCAGUAGAGCAUGCUAAAGUGAA